rnacentral:other from 1 species
GCGGGACUGCCCGGCACGAGCCGAUCGAAUAUCCCUGAGGCUAUAAGCAAUCCAUGGGAGCUGUCCCUGCUCUGGAACACGGGUUCGUCCCGGGGACCGGGGCAUACGGCGCCCACCUGACGUUGAGGCGUCAGAGGAUUUCACUGGCAAACGACCCAUGGUGGUUCCGCC